UCCCCAGUGGCUCAGUGGUAAAGAAUCUGCCUGCGAUGCAGGUGACAUGGGUUCUAUCCCUGACUGGGCAA
rnacentral:tRNA from 1 species